rnacentral:rRNA from 1 species
CCUGAGCUUAACUUGGGAAUUGCAUUCGAUACUGGUUAGCUAGAGUGUGGGAGAGGAUGGUAGAAUUCCAGGUGUAGCGGUGAAAUGCGUAGAGAUCUGAAGGAAUACCGAUGGCGAAGGCAGCCAUCUGGCCUAACACUGACGCUGAGGUGCGAAAGCAUGGGGAGCAAACAGGAUUAGAUACCCUGGUAGUCCAUGCCGUAAACGAUGUCUACUAGCCGUUGGGGCCUUUGAGGCUUUAGUGGCGCAGCUAACGCGAUAAGUAGACCGCCUGGGGAGUACGGUCGCAAGACUAAAACUCAAAUGAAUUGAUAGGGGCCCGCACAAGCGGUGGAACCAUGUGGUUUAAUUCGAUGCAACGCGAAGAACCUUACCUGGCCUUGACAUAGUAAGAACUUUCCAGAGAUGGAUUGGUGCCUUCGGGAACUUACAUACAGUG